AGAUAGGGUAGAGGGGCGCAUUCAAUCCUAGUUUUUUAUUCUCUCUCUCCU
rnacentral:tRNA from 1 species